rnacentral:lncRNA from 1 species
GCAGCUUUAGCUUUGUUCUUCCCGAGGAUCAGCUGUAACCACUCACAGCAGGAACUACCCCUAAGUUAAAAUACCCUUUACCCGCCCCGCAUCAAGCCACAGGCAAGGAAGGAUCUUCAAUUUGGGGACAGGCAGGGGGUGGGUGGGGUAGGAGUGAGAACACCACUGGGCCAGUGAGUUCUAACAGCAUGAGUGGAGAACAAGAGUCUGCAUCAGAAACGGGAUCCAGAAGUUCACCGGGAGCUCUGCCACAAGGCAUUUAUGUACAACGGAGCUGGGCUGGGGGUGAUGCCCCGUGAGGGAGGCAAGAACUGCACAGCAGCACGGGCAAGCUGCCCUGGGCCCUAGCCCGCUGCCGCAACCCCACGUGCCCUCAGUUCUCCUCGUCACUGUCAUCCGGGCUGAUAGCCGGGCUUGUGAGACUGUAGGUGGGGCUGGUGGGUGAGUAACCAGGGGAAGUGGGAGAGUAGGUUGAGCCUUUGGGGGAGGUGGGUGAGUAGGUGGGGCUGGUGGGCGAGUACUUGGGGGAAGUGGGCGAGUAAGUAGGGCUAGUAGGUGAGUACUUGGGAGAGGUUGGGGUAUACUCUGGGGAGCUGGGACUGUAAGAAGGACUGGUUGGGGUGUACUUGGGUGAGGUUGGGCUGUAGCUGGGCGAGCUGGGGCUGUAGCUGGGUGAGCUUGGGGUAUAGGUUGGAGACUGUGGUGUGUAUCGUGGGCUGGAAGGGGAGUAACUUGGUGAGGUCGGGGAAUAGCUGGGUGAUGUGG